rnacentral:rRNA from 1 species
UACGUAGGGUGCAAGCGUUAAUCGGAAUUACUGGGCGUAAAGCGUGCGCAGGCGGUGAUGUAAGACAGAUGUGAAAUCCCCGGGCUCAACCUGGGAACUGCAUUUGUGACUGCAUCGCUGGAGUGCGGCAGAGGGGGAUGGAAUUCCGCGUGUAGCAGUGAAAUGCGUAGAUAUGCGGAGGAACACCGAUGGCGAAGGCAAUCCUCUGGGCCGGCACUGACGCUCAUGCACGAAAGCGUGGGGAGCAAACAGG